rnacentral:lncRNA from 1 species
GAUCAAUUUACAUUUUCUACAUGGUUUUAGAUUGAUUAUUAGACAGUGGAAGCCAGUGAGUCCACUGGUAAGGUCACUGGAAUUACAAGAUAUUCAUAACAAUAUAGAAGAUAACAUAACUUGAGAGAAGCAAACAUUUCCACUUGAAGAUUGAAGAUAUUACUAGCUUAAAGAGAUUUGUGAAAAUUUGUAUAGAAGUUCCUUCAUAACAAGUAUCCCCAUUACUUCUAAUGUACAGAUGAUGGAAAGAAUAAAGAGAGAAAAUGAGGAAGGGCA